rnacentral:rRNA from 1 species
CCUACGGGUGGCAGCAGUGGGGAAUAUUGGGCAAUGGAGGCAACUCUGACCCAGCAACGCCGCGUGAAUGAUGAAGGUCUUCGGAUCGUAAAGUUCUGUGAUGGGGGAUGAACACAAUGACGGUACCCCAAUAGCAAGCUACGGCUAACUACGUGCCAGCAGCCGCGGUAAUACGUAGGUGGCAAGCGUUGUCCGGAAUGACUGGGCGCAAAGGGUGCGUAGGUGGUUUAGUAAGUUGGCGGUGUAAUUCCGGGGCUCAACCUGGGCGCUACCGCCGAAACUAUUAGACUAGAGUGCAGGAGAGGUGAGUGGAAUUCCAAGUGUAGCGGUGGAAUGCGUAGAUAUAAGGAGGAACAUCAGGGGCGAAGGCGACUUUCUGGACUGUAACUGACGCUGAGGCACGAAAGCGUGGGGAGCAAACAGGAUUAGAUACCCUUGUAGUC